AUACGGAGGGUGCAAGCGUUGUCCGGAUUUAUUGGGUUUAAAGGGUGCGUAGGUGGUUUUUUAAGUCAGUGGUGAAAGCCUACAGCUUAACUGUAGAGGUGCCAUUGAUACUGGGGAACUUGAGUAUGGACGAGGUAGGCGGAAUUUGUGGUGUAGCGGUGAAAUGCAUAGAUACCACAAGGAACACCGAUAGCGAAGGCAGCUUACUGGGCCAUAACUGACACUGAGGCACGAAAGCGUGGGGAGCGAACAGGAUUAGAAACCCCAGUAGUCC
rnacentral:rRNA from 1 species